UACGUAGGGUGCAAGCGUUGUCCGGAAUUAUUGGGCGUAAAGAGCUCGUAGGCGGUCUGUCGCGUCUGCUGUGAAAACUCAGGGCUUAACCCUGAGCUUGCAGUGGGUACGGGCAGACUAGAGUGCGGUAGGGGAGACUGGAAUUCCUGGUGUAGCGGUGAAAUGCGCAGAUAUCAGGAGGAACACCGGUGGCGAAGGCGGGUCUCUGGGCAGUUGCUGACACUGAGGCGCGACAGCGUGGGGAGCAAACAGG
rnacentral:rRNA from 1 species